rnacentral:lncRNA from 1 species
AGAGAAUAGAGAAUAGAAAAUAAUUCUCAAGCAAUAAUUCAAAUCGAAGAGAAUAAAAAAUAGAAAAUAAUUCUCAAGCAAAUCUUCGCAGGUCAAAAUAAUCAUGUUUUCAAUUAUGACUGAAGAUAUGUUUAAUUCAAGUUCUUCAAAUUCUUCUCAUGAUAAUAUUGACAUGGAUAAUAUUGGUGUUCAUAACACAAACAUGAGUUGCACCAAUUUUUCAACCCCUACAAAAUCUAUAAGCUCACAUCAAUCUGAAACAAUUAUAUAAUCUACAAACAAUGUAACUGAGUAAACAAGCAAUUAGCACUUGAAUUCCGAAACUUGCGCAAUGACAUCAACAAAUAGAUUUUCUUGCACUUUGUUAGGUAUCUGAACUUCGACAUUUGCAGAAGCAGGAACUAAUUCACUUCCAGGUUGACUUAGAUAUCCAGUUUCUAUAGAUUCAGGGCAGGUAAUUUUCUGGUCUUGAUGAAUGGUGUGUGAAAAAAGCUUUAUUCCGACAUCCAAAUUGUCAGCCUCGGGAAGACCAGUUGUGAGAAGGCUUUGCACGGAAUGAUCCACAAGAUAAGGCUGGUCACAUGUCAUAAAUACCUGAACACAAGGGAGAAUAAUAUUUCAAGGCUGAGUUUCAAAUAAAAAUAAAGAAGAAUUAGGCAAUUAAACAUCAAAGAGAUACCCACUAAGUAAGCCUCUAGAUGUAUGACAUAAUACGUAGGAUUGUAUUUUAGCAGUCACAAUGUGCUCUAGUAUAAGUUUUAAACUCCUAGUUCUAUUGCAGGUUUUGACUUGACAGAAACCCCAACUGGAACCUUCUAAAAAAUCAUGAAAAUUUAUUUACUUACUCUCAUCUUUCUUUCUCUCUUUAUACAAUAAGUGGGAAGGGUUAAGACUUUUCAGUUAUUUUCGUCCACGUGCUUGAAUCAUUCAAUUAUUUAGAUUAAUGCUACUAGAAAAUUUGAAUAACAUAUAUUAAUGUAAAAUAAUUGAAAUGCUCCACAUAUCUAUUUUAGGAUAAGUAGGGAGCUAAGCAACCUUGAUGCAAAUUGUUUCUUCAUGACACAAUAGGAAUCUCAUAGCCAAUAUUAAAUGACAAGACAGCUUUUCAAUAGCCAGGAUUAACUAAUAACCUAUGCAUCGUACCAGCAGCAAAUAUUUAUGAGUACAACCAUUGUAAAUAUGGGAUGUCCAGUGGUCUUCAAAGCUUUUAGUUCAUGUAGGUGGAAGAACUGGUUGUCAAAAUAAGGGAUCUUGCUGGAUGCUGCCGCCGUAGAAUUUUGAGGGCAAUAUACAUGAUGAAGUAGUUUUAAAGAUUCUCAUAUGGUGAAUAGUGAAUACUGCAUGUUGAAAAUGGAGCAAUUCAGCCUAUAGAUAGAAUGCGGGAGGAAGCUAGCUGAUGUCACUAAAUCAACGUAUUACAAAAUAAAAGAAACAGAAAACCAUAUAUGUUGGCACAAAACAAAGAUAACAACAAUGCAAUAAGAACAUAUAGACCAGUUAUGCAUUUGUUAGUGUGCAAGGUAUGAAAAAAGUGAGUACACAAUGCAAUUUUUAUUAUACCAAAGCCCAACGAGGAAAAUGAGAAAGUAGCAACCUCAAUCUUUAAGCCAGACCAUUACAACACUAUCUUGAUAAAAGGAAAAAGAAAUAGUAUUGAUAAGAUAUUAAGAUUUUAAAACAUUAAAUCAAGAUAAUAUUAAAAUGAAUCCUCGGACUCAGUCUUUCUCCUUUUCCUUCCAAUUACAACACUUAGUCUCAAAAAAUGAUAGUUGGGACAAAAGUGGAGUCCAUGUUCAGAAAAUCAUGUGCAUACAAGUAUAACAACCAUUUGAAUAUAUUACCAUCCCUUGUCGAUAAUCAUCUAUGUCUUCAGUAUCAAAAAACAUGGUUUGCACAAAGAACAUAAUAGAGGCGCUUGGAAACAUUCAAGUAUCAAAAAACUGAUACUUAUAAUGUGAACCAAAACGACGACAGUAUAUCCACAUCGCAGUUAGUUCUUCCCAUUUCACAUGAUUUCGCGAUCUCCUACUGUGUAGACAGAGUUAGAAUAAAAGUAAUAUUAAAUCUUGCACUUACAUCAAUUAUUGUUAGAACUCUUUCAGCUAAAUCACCACAUUUCAAACUUAAAUUUAUUAAAAAAGAUGUCGUGCUUCAUUGCAAGGAAUCCAUGCCAUAGAAAUCAAAUUGGGAGCAUUUUCGUUGAACUUUAAAGCUAUUCUUUUUUUCAUUCAAAUGUGCUAAUUUCACAUCACAGUUUAUAUAAAUUAGUUUAAAUAAAAAACCAUAUUAAAAUCAUCCACUUUCAACAACAUACCAUUUCACUAUUGAUUGAAGAUAUAAAUGAUAACAAAACAGCUAAUGCAAUUAGAGAAUUCCCCUGUUCCAGUAGAAAUACUAUUAAAACAAUGACCCAGUAAAACACGGAACUGGUUUUAUUGAUUAUAUAACAGAUCGAUCAAAUUGAAUUUCUACAAUUACUUUAGAACAGUAUUAUCUGAAGCCUAAUAUCAGGCCAAUUACUUUUCUGAAAGUAGUCAACUAUACAGUAAAUUGAAAACGAGAUACAUGACCAACAACAAAUUAACAGAUUUGAUAACUAAAAAUAACCAAAACUACCAAAUCUCGAAAAUAUAUACCAUAAGAUUAAUCAGAUAAGCAAAACUAAACACUGAUACAAACUACUUGGUAGCAAAAUCAGUCUAACCUGCUACAAAAGCAAAAAUACCUGGUCAAUCGCAGCAGGAGGGAGGGUUUGGUUUAGGGAAUCGUCGCAGGAAUCGAGGGUGCUCGUACGCUAGUUGAACUCGAAAUCGCAGCAGGAGGGAGGGUUUGGAUUUCAUAAUCGCAGGGUUUGAUUUAGGAAUCGCAGCAGGAGGGAGAGUGAGGGAGGGUUUGGAUUUCGAGGACGGAGGGUUUGAUUUAGAAAUCGCAGCAGGACUGCCGGAGGGAGGGUGCUCGUAUGCUAGUUCACUACCCGACGAAGGUUACUGAGCGUUAGGGUUAAAUUGGGAUUAAAAUUUCUUUUGCAGCGUCCGCUAGUUCAACCAGCGGACGGAUUAAAUCCCUUUUAAAUCUCC